UAAAGGAUCUCUAUGAAAUUUUAGAAAAAGGUUCAAUACCUCAAAAGGAAGGUUGGGAUUGAUUUUGGGGAUGAUGGUCCAAAUCGCUUUGGAAUAAGGGGCUCAAAACAAGUAUUUUUCUACUUUCAGGAUAUCAACUUGUGUAAUAGUAUUUCAAUUGCUCUGAAAUUGUACCACAAUGUUUAAUACCACAGGUAAAAGGUUUGGAUUGAUUUUGGGAGUUAUAGUACCAAAGGUU
rnacentral:lncRNA from 1 species